UCUAAAAUGUCUGUAGGCUAGCUCUUCAACUACAGACUCCUUCUAAUUGCUCUAAACUCCGUCCCGCUGCCGAGAAAUCUCCACUCUCUCUAGUGUACCAUCGAUUAAUUACUCUAAAUCACGCUAGAUUAAUUCCAACUACAGAUCGUUUUAUUAUGCCGGGCUUCCCCACUUCCGGGUUUAAUUGUGGGUUAGGGUUCUCUCGAUUUAGGGCUGCGACACGGUUCUCUCGAUUUAGGGGUUGAUUUUACUCUCGAUUUUAGGGCUGCUACCGGGUUACCUCGAUUUAGGAUUCUUUGUGUUACUAAGUUCGAGUUUGGGAUUAUUUGGUCUUUUGAUUCAGGGGUUGCUACUGUGAUUGAGUUUUUGUGUUGCUCCGUGAUUUCGAGUACUGCUGCUGGGUUCUGUUGGAUUACUACUGCUACUACUGGUGUGUUUUUACACCCAAAAGGUGCGAUUGCUGGCUUCUCUAUGUUAUAUUGAUCUUAGCAACGAAAAUCAAGUCAAUAACUCUCUGCUCCACUGGUCAUCUCUGUUACUUAUCCAUUGCUGGAUUUUUUUUUGGCUUUCUAGUCGUUUCGGGUUCUUAAUAUAUAAGGAGAUUUGAAACUACAUGUGGAACUAGCUAAGUUGAGGUUGGUGAAAGGAAAGAUAGAGUAACCAGAUAAGCUCCCUAUUGGUUCUGUCUCUGGGAAGAAGGCUUAUUUUGAGGCUCAUUACUGAGAAACCUGCUUUUAUGUUGCCAUGUGUACAUUUUUAGUCUAACCUGCUUUAUGCAAUAGUAUACUGCUGGCUUUGCAGAGAUCUGAAAAGUUACAACCUUACUUGCAUUCCUUAUCUUCAGUUCUUGGUGCUAUAUAUCAAGGCAUUGCUUCUCGGGCUUAAAUCACGCACUAGUUUCCAGCGCCAAGGAGCAUCCUAGUUAUGGGGAAAUAACAGAAUCAAAGCUAGAUCCAGCAGACAGUUUCUCCUUUCCAUCUUCUCCGAUAAUAAAUGAUCGAAAGCUUUCAAUUCCGUAUGAAGAGAAAAUUGCUGCCAGUCAUAGUACUUGCUUCUGUCUAUUAAGAGCAGUGUACUUGUGCUCAAACGUUUAUCUGCAGAAAAGACCAUCUGGUACUUAAAACAGACAUUACCAUAAACAGCACUAGCACCAAUUGCUAAACUCCCAGCAGUUGAAUUUGUGCUCAAAACCACCACUAUCCAAUGCCUUGGAGUAGAUCAUCCUUCUCAUCUGUACACAAACAAGCUGCUACAACAUUAUGAUUAUAUUGCCCUGCAGAGACUGAAAGAAAAAUAGUAUCUGGCUGCUGCUGCAGCAGAGGAUGAUGAUGUCGAUGUUGAUUUGUUUGGUGAGGAGACUGAAGAGGAGAAGAAGGCCGCUGAAAAACGUGCAGCAGCUGUCAAGGCAUCAGGAAAGAAGAAAUAAUGUUGCAACAGCUUUGAUGGCAGUGUCAACUUUUGCUCUUCCAUUAUUAAAAUUCAGGUCAGGGUUAAAAAGAUACCUGGAGUUGAGGGGUGCUGAUGGAGGACCUUGGAGGAGUUCAUGUGUGUUACGUGUAUUUUGGAAGUAAUGAUUUUGUUGUUGAUUUUAGACGGCUGAAUUGGAACAAGGUGGUGCUACAUAGUCAUAUACCUUUGAGGGUGAUUUUAACAAAAAAAAACAGUAACUUUUUAGACUCAAGCUGACACUACAAAGGGGGGAACGAUCGAUGAUAGCACAUGAGUUGGUGUUUAUGUUGUAAAUUGUUAGAUGAAGUCCAAAUUGAUCAUGUAAUAAAUAACUGUGUACUAUUUUUUUAUUAAUAAGAUGGAAGUGAUGGUUCAUUUUUCUUAUGUAAA